UAUACCUACAGACUAAUAUUAUUACUUCCUACUGCACACAGAACUUGCCUUCCAUGUGCAGAGAGACAUAUAUAUACCUUCUUGUAUCCAAAGCUGAAUCAUGAGGACUUAAGUUAUAUACUGACAAAACUUUAAAUACUGACAAAACUGUUGCUAUUAGGUUCUUUAUGGCACCGCACCCCAUGAAGGACCUGCUUAUUACAAGAAUGGCCAUCUAAUUCAGUUCAUAGCCUUGGCAACAGAUUUGGGAUUGUUGGUUGAUACCACUGAAAUUCCAUCAGCAUAUCUGCAAUAUUGCCAAUAAGGCAUCUUGCAUCGCCUCAAACCUCCUUAAGACUUCAGUAAACCGGGACUCCUCAUUUAUGCUUUCUCUUUACAUUACACAUAUUAAUCCUAUAAUAGAGUUCUGUUCCGUAGUUUGGCACAGGUUAUGAGGGAGACCUUUCAUUGUUGGAAGGGAUCCAGUGCUGUUGGUCAAAAUAAAUUAUUGGUUACCACAACAUUGAUUAUAGCGGUUGUCUUUCUGCUCUGGAUCUGUAUUCAGUGCUGGGUAGGCUGCUCCAAGCUGACCUGAUAAUAGUGUGGAAAAUAUUUAAUUGAUGAACACUUAUUGCAUAUACUUAUUUCUUAUUCUUACGCCUGAUGCCAGGACUUGUGUCCACCCUCUCAAAAUAUUCUAUCCUCAUAUACAGACUGACUUACACGAAAGAUUGUUCUCAAUUAGAAUUAUUAAUCUCUGGAAUUCUCUGCCCUCCGAGGUUGUCCUAGCUCCUGCCUUAUCCCAGUUUGAAAGAGUUCUUGCAAUUCAUCUGGGGGACAGUCUGUUUGAAUAUUUAUUAUUCUUUGAAAAAUUCUCAUAAUUGCUUACAACACACAUUCCACAGUAUUUUGCAGCCGCUUGCAUUACUGUUAUUGAAAAAAUCUAACUCUACUGUGGCAUGUUGGCAUGUUUGGAGCUCCUUCCCAGAGGAGCUCAUUCUGGUAAGAUUCCUGGUAACAAUAAAUAUUAUUACAAACAGGAAAUAAUUACGGUUACCUUUGGUUAUGCUGCAUAGGUCCUGUUUUUAUUAGGUUUGUUAAGUUCAUGUCCCUUGAGGGGGACCACAGACGGCACCCUAGCUAGUUAGGUUAGUCAAGUUAAUGUGGGAUUUGAUGAGUUAUUGUUAAAUCCAGCACCUUCAUUAACUUUUGUUUUUGUAUGACACUGAAACUUUAUGGUAUUAACUUAUGCUUUUAACUUUGAAUUGAUUUCUUGCUAUUUCUGUAAUUAUUUGUUAAUACUUAUAAACAAUGUUUCUCAAUAUCAAUAAUUCUCCUACAGGUCCAACGUCUCUGUGGAGAAUUAUGAAACCAGCUGCAGGAGGAAAUUUGAGGCUGACAAUGUCAUCUACGAGAGACUAAUCUCUUUCUUCAACAGUGGAAGUUUUGUCAACAGCGAGGACAAGUCGGAACGAAGAUUCAUCCGGAGAAAGGCAGCCACAUUCCAGUGGGAUGCAUCACAGAAGAUCUUGUACUAUACUGGAGUGGGUGACAGCAAGCGGCGGGAAGUGAUACGCACCAUGGAGAAGCUUGCAGACGUGCUGUGGUUUCACCACAGUAGCCCGACUUCAGGUCAUAGUGGUGUGCUGGCAACAUACAACAGGGUUGCUGCAGUGUACUACUGGAGAAGUAUGAGAGAAGAUGUCAAACACUACAUAAGUAUUAUCCAUAAAACUAUCAGGUUUCUGUAAGCAUAUACAGCGUAUCACUAUUUGUAAUACAAAAUUAUGCAGUUUGUUCUGGUCAGGAUAAUAAAAUUGCAUUUACAGUUUG